rnacentral:rRNA from 1 species
UACAGAGGUCCCAAGCGUUGUUCGGAUUCAUUGGGCGUAAAGGGUGCGUAGGCGGCGCGGUAAGUCGGGUGUGAAAUCUCGGAGCUUAACUCCGAAACUGCAUUCGAUACUGCCGUGCUUGAGGACUGGAGAGGAGACUGGAAUUCCUGGUGUAGCGGUGGAAUGCGCAGAUAUCAGGAGGAACACCGAUGGCGAAGGCAGGUCUCUGGGCCGUAACUGACGCUGGAGGAAGCGAAAGCCAUGGGGAGCGAACAGG